GUGCCCUACGGACGCAGCAGUGGGGAAUAUUGCACAAUGGGGGAAACCCUGAUGCAGCGACGCCGCGUGAAGGACGAAGUAUUUCGGUACGUAAACUUCUAUCAGCAGGGAAGAAAAUGACGGUACCUGACCAAGAAGCCCCGGCUAACUACGUGCCAGCAGACGCGGUAAUACGUAGGGGGCAAGCGUUAUCCGGAUUUACUGGGUGUAAAGGGAGCGUAGACGGCCAUGCAAGUCUGAU
rnacentral:rRNA from 1 species